AAAUCUAAAGGUAUAUGUUCUCAUCAUUAACAACAAUAAAACUAAAUACAUUUAGCUGCUUUAUCACACUGAAACAAUUCCUACUGGUUGUUUUACUUUAUUGCUUUGAUCAUGAUUGGUUAAUCUGGCUGUCAUCCAGGAAACUGGACAGUGAAUCGGUUCGCGCCUUUCUACAUUUGAAAAUAUGACCGUUAUUAUCGUUCUUUCUGUGAGUGAGGCGGCUGACUGUGAGCUGCUGCUGUAACUGCUCGGUCGGUCCCGAAUUAUUUUAUAUUUGCCUGUUAAUUAUUUAUUUUUUUGAGCGAAUUUGAGUCGUGACAUGUCAAUGGAGAACAAAAACUGUAAUGUGAACACAAGAAGUGUCAGAUGUGUUCUGCGAGGUCCUGCAAACAUACUGGCAAAAUGAGAGAUUUUUCCACAUUUUCCUGAUAUGAAUCCCAUGGAUUAGAGUCAUCAAGGAUCCAGCUUUUUAUUGAAACAUUGGUAAGAAAUUGUUCAGCUGCUGCAUUGCACUGUCACUUCUGGUAGAGAUUCAUUGACUUUUUGUGAUAGGUUUUGAUUUUAUUUAGUUUAAUAAAAAUUUACUUAAUUUGAUUUUACUUGUUUUA